rnacentral:lncRNA from 1 species
CCGAUAUAUAUAGUGGAGCAGGUAUGGCGCCGUCAUUAAUGGCGCGGACAAUUGAGGAAUUGUCAACUCACUGUAGACUGUCAGAGUCGCCGUGAAAGUGUCACGUCGCCGUGGGGCUGUCAAAUCACUAGGGUUGACAAUGCCCUAGGCGAGAUAAUGCCCCUAGGUGGUAGUGCCGCAUGUUGUUGGCAGAACUGACAAGCUCUGG